ACUCCUGCGGGAGGCAGCAGUGGGGAAUUUUGGACAAUGGGGGCAACCCUGAUCCAGCAAUGCCGCGUGAGUGAAGAAGGCCUUCGGGUUGUAAAGCUCUUUUGUCAGGGAAGAAACGGUGGUGGCGAAUAACUACUACUAAUGACGGUACCUGAAGAAUAAGCACCGGCUAACUACGUGCCAGCAGCCGCGGUAAUACGUAGGGUGCAAGCGUUAAUCGGAAUUACUGGGCGUAAAGCGUGCGCAGGCGGUUGUGUAAGUCAGAUGUGAAAUCCCCGGGCUCAACCUGGGAAUUGCAUUUGAGACUGCACGGCUAGAGUGUGUCAGAGGGGGGUAGAAUUCCACGUGUAGCAGUGAAAUGCGUAGAUAUGUGGAGGAAUACCGAUGGCGAAGGCAGCCCCCUGGGAUAACACUGACGCUCAUGCACGAAAGCGUGGGGAGCAAACAGGAUUAGAUACCCGAGUAGUCCCA
rnacentral:rRNA from 1 species